GGAAUGUAAGAACACGUCUCUUAAUUUUUAACUAAAAAUGUUAAGAACCGUCUCUUAAAACUCUUAUUUAAGAGCUGGUUUUAAGAGACGGUUCUUAGUUUUUUUUAGUUAAAAGUUAAGAGACAUGUUCUUAUAUUUC
rfam:Brassica napus, WGS project CCCW01000000 data, contig: 28428